UCCCAUGUUGUCCAAGUGUCCAUGGGCAAGACACUAAACCCUAAAUUGCUCCUGAUGCCGCGCCAUCGGCGUGUAAAUGUGUGUGAUUUUUUCAAAUCUAAUG